UACGUAGGGGGCGAGCGUUGUCCGAAGUUACUGGGCGUAAAGCGCACGUAGGCGGCUAUUCAAGUCGGGGGUGAAAGCCCGGGGCUCAACCCCGGAACUGCCCUCGAAACUAGAUAGCUAGAAUCUUGGAGAGGUCAGUGGAAUUCCGAGUGUAGAGGUGAAAUUCGUAGAUAUUCGGAAGAACACCAGUGGCGAAGGCGACUGACUGGACAAGUAUUGACGCUGAGGUGCGAAAGCGUGGGGAGCAAACAGG
rnacentral:rRNA from 1 species